GAGUUUGAUUCUGGCUCAGAUUGAACGCUGGCGGCAUGCUUUACACAUGCAAGUCGAACGGCAGCACAGGGAGCUUGCUCCUGGGUGGCGAGUGGCGAACGGGUGAGUAAUGUAUCGGAACGUGCCUGGUAGUGGGGGAUAACCACUCGAAAGAGUGGCUAAUACCGCAUGAGAUCUCUGGAUGAAAGCGGGGGACCUUUGGGCCUCGCGCUACUGGAGCGGCCGAUAUCAGAUUAGGUUGUUGGUGGGGUAAAGGCCUACCAAGCCUGCGAUCUGUAGCUGGUCUGAGAGGACGACCAGCCACACUGGGACUGAGACACGGCCCAGACUCCUACGGGAGGCAGCAGUGGGGAAUUUUGGACAAUGGGCGCAAGCCUGAUCCAGCAAUGCCGCGUGCAGGACGAAGGCCUUCGGGUUGUAAACUGCUUUUGUACAGAACGAAAAGUCUCUGGCUAAUAUCUGGAGAUCA
rnacentral:rRNA from 1 species